rnacentral:rRNA from 1 species
AACACAUGCAAGCCGAGCGGUAGAGAUUCUUCGGGAUCUUGAGAGCGGCGCACGGGUGCGGAACACNUGUGCAACCUGCCUUUAUCAGGGGAAUAGCCUUUCNAAAGGAAGAUUAAUGCCCCAUAAUAUAUUAGAUGGCAUCAUUUGAUAUUGAAAACUCCGGUGGAUAAAGAUGGGCACGCGCAGGAUUAGAUAGUUGGUAGGGUAACGGCCUACCAAGUCAACGAUCCUUAGGGGGCCUGAGAGGGUGAUCCCCCACACUGGUACUGAGACACGGACCAGACUCCUACGGGAGGCAGCAGUGAGGAAUAUUGGACAAUGGGUGAGAGCCUGAUCCAGCCAUCCCGCGUGAAGGACGACGGCCCUAUGGGUUGUAAACUUCUUUUGUAUAGGGAUAAACCUAGAUACGUGUAUCUAGCUGAAGGUACUAUACGAAUAAGCACCGGCUAACUCCGUGCCAGCAGCCGCGGUAAUACGGGGGUGCAAGCGUUAUCCGGAUUUAUUGGGUUUAA